CGAGGGUCCUGCCACGCUCACUGGGUCGUUCUCUUCCACACUCACAUGAAGCUUUUCUUUACCUCAUGGCCUCUGCUCUCUUCCCUGUUUCCCCUCUACCUGGGCACCCCUCUAAGUGGCAGUGCUGGUGUUAGCCACCCUUCUGCUUUGUCACAGUCAUGCCCUCUCCUCUUUCAAAAGGCCACCUGAGUAGUGGGUAUGCUUGGGUGGGUCACACUGGAAUAGAGCAUGGUGUGGGGUGCGUCUGGGCACUGGCUUCUCAAGGGUUUGAGGACUGAAGUAUGGACUCAGGCACGGCUGGGACUCGACCUUCACGGCCCUGGCUGUUCAGCUCACGUGACACAAAAAGAGACGUCAAGGGUCUCCUGCCCAGGAGGAAUCAAGAUGGACUUUUCUGCCCCUUCCCCUCAUGGUCCAGUCAUGCCUGACUGGCCAGCAAGCCACCCCCGGACAGGCCCAGCCUCCCUCCCUCCAGGCCUUGCAUGGUUGGCCUCCUCUACCUGAAAUGUCCCCCUAUCAACCCCUAAACUGUCCCCUGGGGACAGCUUCAAUUUCUUUUUUUUUCUAGAAAGCCUUCCCUGAACAGCUCUCCCCUCCCCUUUCUUGGGGGGGGUGGCAAUCAGAGUCCAAAUUCUGCACUUGACUUUCAACAUUAACUGCCCUAUAAAGCUGAUUCUUCCUCCAGCAUGCAGUGUGAUGCCCACCAAGAAGAUGGGCCCUGAUGCACCAACACUGGGAUCCUUGGGACAGGAAGAGUUUUGCCUUCUGAAUUAUUAUACCCACCACACCCAUGAGGGGUGCUUCUUAAUUAUUUGGAAUGAACUAAUGGAUCCCAAGCUAUGUGGUUUGCAUUGAGGGAGCAGAGGGACCUCUACUUGACAGUGGGAGAUAUUUAUAACCAUUCCAAAUAUCUGGCUUGGCAGAGAUAGGCAACCCAUAGCUUACCCUGCUCUGUGAAUUCAUGAGCAUGUGAAUUACUACCGGGACUUACUGUAACUCUAGAUCCCAGAUUGAACAUAGACCAAAUAGGCACAAGGUGAAGAGCUCCAAACCAUAACCACGGGACAGCAGCCCUCAUCAUUUUGAGGCCCUGGAACUGUCCCUGACCCUUGCCGCAUCCUCCCCAGCAAAGCUGGGCUGUCCAGCUCGGGGAGGAGGCAAGGGUGGGGUGGGGAAUGAGCACAGCCAGCCCUGAACAGUCCUCAUCACUCAACAAAC
rnacentral:lncRNA from 1 species